ACGACAGUACACAGUGAUGUUUGUUCCAUCUAGCUGGACUCAGUGAGACAACUGGGAAAUGCUCUUUUUUGGUCUGAUUAACUAACUUCAAUAUUUAACCUUGUUAAUCAUAGGUUUUAAAGGUACACGAUGAAAGCUUAGUAUCAGCAAACCCUGAUAUUCUUGAUGGAGUGGAUGACCUCAUGCAACUUAGUUAUUUAAACGAAGCUUCAGUCUUAUACAACUUACAAUAUAGAUACAACCAGAAUAUGAUCUAUGUAAGUCUUUAUAUUGCUGAUUUUUUUCCCUCAUCAAUUUGCUUUCUUAUCAUAAGUCAUAACAGCUUUAUGGGCAUAUCUUUUACAAUUCAGACAAAAGCAGGGCCUGUUUUGGUUGCCAUAAAUCCUUUCAAGAAAGUUUCUCUGUAUGGUAAUGAUUAUAUUGAAGCCUACUAGCGUAAAAGAAUUAAAAGGGCCUAUUUUGUUUUACUUUUUGACUCAGCUACAUUAAGGCAAUAUUCUCUAUCUUUAACUUGUGCAUUGCAAUUCAAUCCAGCUAUUUUUAAUGGAAGUAUAACUAUGUUAAUUGUCAACAAAUUUGCAGCAAGUUUUUGCAUAUUUUGAUGAUUAAUUACAUUUAGUUGGUGAAAUUUUAUGUAGGGUUUUAAAUUUGAAAGAUAUUUUAGGAUGUUUAUUUAUAAUUUAUUUAUUAUUUUAUUAUGGAACGGUUUUUCCGAUUGAAUCACGGUUAGACAAUAAACUAGUGAACUAGUGACUAGAGCAGUCGAUGACCGGUCCGGUUUUCAGAACUUUGCUUUUUCCUUUUCUAUUCAUCAACCAAGUUCCCUAAUUUAGCAAUUUCUAGAAAACCUAAUUUGCUUGCCAAGCUUUUAAUUUUAUGAUUCCUGCUCAGAUAAGGUCAACGGGAGUAGGAAGAGCUACUAGUUUCGAUAAGGUUUGAACUUUAUGAUUUCUUUGUUUAGGGUCUUAGCUCAUACUCCAAUUAGAUUUCAGGGGCUGUGGUGAACUUGAUACUGUAGUGUGUGUGUGCGCAUCCAUGGCGAACUGUGCGGAUUCGGAGCAGUUCGUGCUGCUGUCUAGUAUCCGGACGGGUCUCGAGAGAGUUUGCAUUCGCCAUGAAAGCUCAGUCCGAGAUCUGUGGGUCAGUGGGCCAGACCAGGGCCUCCAAGAACGGGAAUGCAGUUCAGGUCGUGAAAAGCCCUGUCGAAAAGAGGUCCAGGAAGUUAAGUUCCGGGGAAGGGAACAAGAGCGAGCCGAAAAGUGGGGACUUGAAUUGUGAGGUGGUGAAAAGUGAAGAUGGUGGUGGUGGAGGUGACAUUAAGAGUGAGCCAUUUAGGAGGUUUACAAGGUCUCUACCAAAGAGAAAGUUGGAAGAUGAUGUUAGUGGCGCAAAGGAUGGGAAUGAUACAGUAAAUAACAAUGCCGAAGCUGUUGAAGUUGGUGGUAAUAAUAAGCGUGCUAAUGAUAGUGGCAAGGAUGUUGAAGUUGGUGAUGAUGUCAAGGAGGGAUUUGAAGAUGGUGCCCAACAAGUCUGAAGGAGCUUCUAGCGAUGAGGAUUCUUGAAUGUUUGGUAGUGAAUUAUGCUCAGAGUGUGAAGGCUGGAGAAGCAGAGCUUCGGGAAGUGAUUAUGGGAUUGUGUGCCAUUGUGAAGAUUGCCAUGGUGUUGAGGUAAGUAAAAUGAAGAUGCAUUUAGACGAGUUAAUUCCCACUUAAAAUCCACCAAGCCUCAACUCCAAAUCACUUUCCUGAUUUAACAUGUUAGUUGGAAGGUAUUUAUACCUGAGCUACUAUAUAAGGCUUUAGUUGAAAUAGAUUGUUUUAUUUUUUACCGUGAUACCAAUUUUCUUUUUCAGCUAGUCAUCAUUAUUGUUAUGAUGAUAAUCAUAACAAUUGCUUUUUAAUGGUUAUUGCAAAUAGUCAAUCAGUUGAUUUUAUUUCAUGUGACGGACUGCUUAUGAUUAGCCAUAUACAUGGUUUUAUGAUUGGUUCUGGUUUCUGAUGCUCAAUUAUUAAGAUGGGGAGAAAGAAAAUUACCUUUGGCAUUCUAAGUACGUCUUUGAUUCUCCACUUUGGCUGAAAGCCAAUCCCCAGAAAUCUGAUGCUCACUUCCUCAGUCAGCAACAAUGAACUAAUACAGAGCAGAUUUAAAUGCACAGCAGAGGGAGAAGGAGAAGAGAGUAGACGCAUUGCAUAGUGCUUACCUGCAACUAAUGCCGCCACAACAGCAACGUACAGGAGAGAAGACAGCCACAACUUCACCAAGCCAUCCAUAUAACUCCAAAAAAAAAUAUCUGGCUUAGUACCCAACACACAAAUGUACAAUACUAAAGUAUAAUAAUAAGUUGCUUGACAAUAAGAAAUACACAUUUUGACCGACCCUACUUGGAUGUGGAAGAAUCACUCAAUGCAAUUCACAUUUCAUCACCACUUAUUUCUUCUAGUUUCAACCGUCAUCACCACUUCCUUCUUCCAAUAACUUCUUUCACCUCCUUUUGUUUCAUUAAUGGAGUUGUCUUCAUCUCCUAAUCCUUCCCUUUUCUAAGAAUGUUUUUUCUUAGAAAUUUAGUAAGGUUACAUUUCUUACCUCUUCUAUUUUAUCUAUUCACACCUCAGUUCACGUUCUACCACCAAAAAUGGUUUUUCAAUGUCAAUAAUUUGUGAUUGUGAUGCAUGCAAGACUUUUAAGAAUAAUUCUUUAUCGCCGUUGCAACUGGAGAAGGACAUGUUCUUACAAGGUUCACGGUGAGACAUGAUUUUGAAUUUAAUGAGAUAAAAGCUUUAGUGGAAAGGGGAAGUAAUGGGGACUCAAUAAAUCUCCACAAGGACUUCUAACCUACAAACAAAAACUCUAGAGUUAGUUAUUGUAAUGAUCCAUAAUGUAACUGCCUAGGUAUUGAUUGCAAAUUAUGUAUACUUGGAAGUGUCCAUUGCAGUUCCAACAAGAAUAUUUAGGAGGCAUAUUUACAUAAGGCUUUCUUGCGAGGGACAAAGUUUGGAUUAAAACAAUGGUCACGGUACUCUUUUGAAACUACGAGAAAUCAUCUUUGGCUGUAAGUUGGACUACAUAUGCAAGGUGAAAGUUAGAGGAAUAAUUGCAGGUUCCUUCAUCUUCGUCAAAUAGCUUGGCCUAGAAAGAUUUUCGCAUUGCAUUUCUUCCGUAGGAAAAACAGUUAUCUUAAAGAUUUGGUUUGGUUCGCAUGCCAUUAUAGCAUGUUUCACCUUGGUAUCACGGCGUCAUCAAUUUUAUUACAUUAAUGUUAAGUGUAUUACCAUGGGAAAUACUAUACUAGAUAUGCCAAAGAGAACUUUUGAAUUAAAACCUAAAGAUAAAAGAAAUUUUAUUGUAGAUAUUCGAACUAAGUUCACAUGGUUCGUAUCGCCGGUCUAUAAUCUCCUGGUAGCUUGAUUCUAAAUGAUUGUGCUAUGUGAAGUCCAAAGAUGCAAUAAGGAAAACUCCUACGAUAAAAUUUCACUCCAAAUGUUAUUGUGCAUUUGGAUUCGUUUAAGUUUUUCAUAUGGAGUGAUUUUGAUGUGUUUACCUUUCACGAAGACAACUGAAGAAGAUGGUAUUUCAAUAUUUGGUAAUAUCCAAAUAACAAACUAUGAAGUGGGAUAGGACGUUCUCAAAGAAAUUUACUUUAAGGCUAAAGAAUGUUCAGUGUAGCAUACAAGACGGUUAAAAAUAGCAAUCAAUCAUUAUUAUCUGAUUGCUAUUUCUAACCGUCUUGUCAUAUCCCACUUCAUAGUUUAUCAUUUAGAUAUUACCAAAGAUUGAAGUACCAUCUUCUUUAGUUAUUUUCAUGAAAGCUAAACAUAUCCAAAUCUCCCUGUAUGAAAAUUCUAUCCAAGUCUAAAUGCACGACAUUUGGAGAAAAAUGAAAUUUCAAAGUAGGAACCUUUCUUAUUACAUCGCAUAGUUCAAUAAUUGAGAAUCAAACUUUAAGGCAAAUUCCAUUGUAUGUUCACGCACCUCUUUUACUGGAGGUCAUAGGCGGGGAUAUCAACUAUGUGAAUUUAGUGACAGUGUUUACAAUAGAAUUCCUUACACUAAGUUUUAAUUUAAAAGUUCUCUUCGGCAUAUUUAGUAUAAUAUUUUCCACGGUAAUACGCUUAACAUUAAUGUAAUAUAAUGGAUGACGUUGUGAUACUAGGUUGAAACGUGCUGGGAACUCUGUUCUAUGCAAACCAAAUCUUUAAGAUACCUGUUUUCCUAGGGAAGAAAUGUAAUACGAAAAUUUUUCAAUGCCAAGCUGUUUGACGAAAGAGAAGGAACCUGAUUCAACCCAAUUGUACAAUCCAAUAGUUAUAGCCAAAGAUAAUUUUUCCUAGUUCAGCCCUAUUGUUUUAAUCCAAAUUUUGUCACUCAAAAGAAAGUUUCUGUAAAUGUAUCUCCCAAAUAUAUUCUUGUUGGAACCUACAAUGGACACUUUCAAGUAUGCAUAAUUUGCAAUCAAUAUCUAGGCGAUGACACUGUGGAUCAUUGCAAUAAGGAACUUGUAUUUUUGCAAGUUAGAAGCUUUUGUGAGGAUUUAGUGAGUUCCCACACUAUAUCACUUCCAGUGUCCACUAAAGCUUCUAUCUCAAGCUUCUAUCUCAGCAAAUUCAAAAUCUUGUCCCAACGUGAAUCUUGUAAGAACAUCUCCUUCGUUCAGUUUAGUUAUGGCACGGGUGGAUUUGGAUUUAUUGCUCCAGUUGUGCAGCGAUAAAAGAAUGCUUCUUAGAAGUCUUGCAUGCAUCGCAAUCACAAAUUAAUGGACAUUAAAAAGCCAUUUUUAGUGGUGGUGGUGGUGAUAGUAACAAAAGAGGUGAGAAAUAUAACCUCGCUAAAUUUCUAAGAAAAAACAUUAUUGGGAGGGGAAGGAUUAGGAGAGAAAGACAACUCCAUUAAUGAAACAAAAUGGUGAAAGAAGUAAUUAGAAGGAGGGAGUGGGAUGACGGUUGGAACUAGAAGAAAGAGGUGGUGAUGAAGUGUGAAUUGCAUUGAGUAAUUCUUCUUCCUUAAGGUGAGAUCGGUCAAAAUGUGUAUUUCUUUAUUGUCAAGCAAUUUAUUAUUAUACUUUAGUGGGAGAACCUAGGUGCUAUCUCUCCGCCUCUCGACUAUCCUUCUCCUCUCGCUCUCACCGAAGUAACCUGCGUGGGUGGCUGGGUGGCUUGGUGACGCUGCGGCUGUCUUCUCCUCUCUUGUACGUUACUUUCUGCAUUUUCAGGCCUCCGAUUUAGCUACUAUGAUUUCCUGAAGGUUGAACUUAUCAUUUAUCCAUUCCUUUGGCUCAAACUUUAUCUGCAUUUGUUCAAGCAGCGAUGUUCAAAACUCUUUAAGUGCCAAGAUAAGAAAAGAGCAUGAGGAGCCAUUGAUCUUGGUUGUUAUUGGCACCUUGUUGAACUUCUGAAUAUGUAUUAUUAGUUCCAUAUACUGAUAUACACACAUUCAAUCAAGCUGAGAUAAUAACUUUCUUUAAUGGGGGCGCUGCAGACACUGAUUUGUAUUUGCAUAUACGAAUCUUUUUCUGACUUACAGACAUUGUAAUGAUGCUAGCUAAUGCAGUUCUUGCAUGCUAGAGAAUGUGUAGUUCUGUAAACUCUGCUGAUUUCUACCUUUUGUGGAUUCAUAUUGAGUUAUUGACAUAUUCAAUAAAAUAGCUUAGAAAGUUAACUUGUUCAAACUAGUUCACUCCUUUGGAAGAAUGUGUAUGUUGUUGCUUGUUAAACUACAGAUUUUAGU